rnacentral:rRNA from 1 species
GACGAACGCUGGCGGCGUGCUUAACACAUGCAAGUCGAACGAAGAGCGACGGAAGCUUGCUUCUAUCAAUCUUAGUGGCGAACGGGUGAGUAACGCGUAAUCAACCUGCCCUUCAGAGGGGGACAACAGUUGGAAACGACUGCUAAUACCGCAUACGAUCUAAUCUCGGCAUCGAGGAUGGAUGAAAGGUGGCCUCUACAUGUAAGCUAUCACUGAAGGAGGGGAUUGCGUCUGAUUAGCUAGUUGGAGGGGUAACGGCCCACCAAGGCGAUGAUCAGUAGCCGGCCUGAGAGGAUGAACGGCCACAUUGGGACUGAGACACGGCCCAGACUCCUACGGGAGGCAGCAGUGGGGAAUCUUCCGCAAUGGACGAAAGUCUGACGGAGCAACGCCGCGUGAGUGAUGACGGCCUUCGGGUUGUAAAGCUCUGUUAAUCGGGACGAAAGGCCUUCUUGCGAAUAGUGAGAAGGAUUGACGGUACCGGAAUAGAAAGCCACGGCUAACUACG